rnacentral:lncRNA from 1 species
AUGGGACAGAAAGACUGUUUAGGGGCUAAUCUUUCUCUGCAAUCUGAAAUCCUUACUUUGCAUUCAGUUCUUUCCCUUCGCGUAGCUCAAGACAAACUCCCAGGAGGAGAACUGUGUGAUAUAGCCUCAGACGUGAGCAAAACAAGUGGAGAAAAACUGCCCUUCGGUUCGACAAGUGUUCUUCUGCAGCCCAGCGACACAGCAGUCAUUUAGGGGGACCAGGCAUGACCUUGGUGGACAAAGCUGCCUUCUGCGCAUCAGUGUAUGUCCAUUGCUUCCUUCUUAUUUCUGCCACCCCCGGUCCAAGCUUAUUUGCAGACUUUUGAUGCACACAGGACUGGAGGUGUCUACACAGAGGCCGAUAUUAGCUGCAUUUUUAAUGGCUCAGCUCUGCCCCGGACAAAAACUGUUGUCUCUGCCUUUGAUCUGUCAACUCCCAGCUGGUUGCAAUAUUAGCACCAUUAAUAACGCCUCCCCUGGAAGAGCAUAACCGUAAAGGCAAAGCCACAGCAAUUCAUACAUAAAGACGGCAGGGAUGUGGUCUGGUAGCCACGUAAGGAGCUGAAAAACGGCCUCACAGCUCCGUGCAGCUGGUAAAAGGCUUUGAAAGUGCCCUUGUGCAAAAAAAAAUCGGGUGUUGUCAGAGCUGGGAACAGUCGCUUCCAAAGCCAGAGAGGUGGAGGUUUUAUUCUUAUCUUCGGGGCCUCUAAGUUAGCUGCCAAUGUUGCCAGAUUUCUGUGUUUCCCUGGAAGAUGGUUUCAUGCCCUGUGCUCACCCAGCCCAGUUGGUUGCUAGGCUCCCUGAGCCUCUAGCAAAACCAGCAGGGUUUCAAACACACCAGAAUCCAAAACAUGCACAGAGUGCGAUCAUAAAUAAGCCGUGAGCUCUACCAGUCUGCCCCUGCCUUGCUUUUGGAACCCCGUGGCAAAAAUCAUGGCUUGUUCAGUGACUAGGAUAGAGGCGAAAAUUGGGGAGGGGGAUAAUGGAUGGGGCUGCUGUGUCUGCUGCACCCGAGUCUUGCCUGUUUUAUAGGGGACAAACCUCCUUGAAGAGCCAUGUGGCCCCACAAGCAAGUGGGGGUAUGAAACUGGGUCUCCAGGCGCCUUGAAACUGCUGCAGCUCAGUGGGACUGCAAGGAAGGGAAAGGGAGGGAGGGAGGGAGGGAGGGAGGGAAGGAAGGAAGGAAGGAAGGAAGGAAGGAAGGAAGGAAGGA